UACGUAGGGUGCGAGCGUUGUCCGGAAUUAUUGGGCGUAAAGGGCUCGUAGGCGGUUUGUCGCGUCGGGAGUGAAAUCCACUGGCUUAACUGGUGGCUUGCUUUCGAUACGGGCAGACUAGAGGUAGGCAGGGGAGAGCGGAACUCCUGGUGUAGCGGUGGAAUGCGCAGAUAUCAGGAAGAACACCGGUGGCGAAGGCGGCCCGCUGGGCUGUGGCUGACGCUGAGGCGCGACAGCGUGGGGAGCAAACAGG
rnacentral:rRNA from 1 species